CGUUUCUUCCUCCUCACCGCGCCCGACACCCAUCUGCCCUAACCGCUGCUCACGGCAGUUCCUUCUCCUCUCGCGUGAGCCGGGACCAAAGAGAGGUCGGCGCUUCUCUUCUCCUUAUUUCUUCCCCCCACGCCGCCGACUCCUUCCUGCCGACGCCGCCCUUCUCUUCUCCUCCAUCCCUGCCCAAGCGCCGGCGUGCACGAGCCACUGCCGGUCGAGCCGUUGCCUGUGCCCUCGUACCCUCUGUUGAUCUCCUUUCUUUUCCGACGACACCACACGAGCGCCGACUACCUUGCUCCUCACGCGCGCCACCACCGUCCUGGCACCACUUCCUCUUCCUCUGCCCUAGUCUCACCGGCCGGUCUCACCAGGAGUCGGUAGACGCUCGGCUGCCCACAGACCUCGCUGAGUAGAACCCUACCCGACGGUUCACCAUCGACGAUCUGCCCUUGCCGAGCCUAGUUGAUCUGGCCGCAGUCACCAUCGGCUGCCAAUUGAUCCUCUUCCAUCUACUUUCCAUGCCUUAGUUUCCUAGUGCUGGGCCUUUCUUCCUGCAUCACAGCAACAUCUGGAAGACAUCAGAGAGGAAGCUCGAGUUUGAAUUCAGCUUUGGCGAGGAGGUUAGCCAUUCGUGGAUAGCUGCUGCCACCAGAUCCUUUGCUUCGGCUGUGGAUCAUCGGUUGAGGUUUCAGAGUUGGAUUAAAUUUAGCGGCAACUCUUGAUUCGGCAGUAACCUUUUUGUUUGUGGAUCAAUAGCAGUGACUUGGAGUUGAGGACUUUGAUACGAGACGAGCAUCUUGGCGUUGGAUUUGACUGGAUUGGACUUGCUAUUUGAGG